AUUGUCGCAUGGUACCGUGCCCAGAUGAAGCCAAUUCCAGACUUUCCGGUUAUCAGUUUAGUGAAAAUUAGCUCGUAGCGUCUUUCUUAAGCUCACAGAGUGUGUAGCUUUACCUGUUUCACCACUGUUUUGUUUCGUUUGUGACUUCGCCUGCUGAAACCGGUGCUAAGUGCUCAACUCGCUAACAUACGUUACUUCCCGGUGGCUGCUGCAGCCUCACAUCUUUGUCGCCGUCAGUUCUCCCCCGAAAUGAAAAGAAACGGCGCCUACAGGUUUUUGUCAGUAUUCUCCUGUUUCGUCGUUUGUGUGUUCUUGUUUUUGUUUUGGUUCUUUAUAUUUUACUCAAUGGUGCUUGCGCCAUAAAGCGCAGAAACUGUAGCGGCUAAGCUAAUGCUACUUACCCAGAGUGCUUUGCUUUAUUGACAAGUUCCGCGAUCACAUGAUCAGCUUCACCAGGAAGUAAGAAUUUAUGAACUUGGCUGUGCAGCCUGUCAGUGAAGUUGUGAUGGCAUCUGACAUCAGUGAAGCAUCGCCGUCGUCUGCCGACCUCAAGCUGCAGUUUGCUCCCUUCAGCAGUGCUCUGGAGGCAGGCUUCUGGCAUCAGCUUACUCAGAAAAAACUCAAUGACUACAGAUUGGAUGAGAGCCCUAAAUGUAUCAAAGGAUACUACUACAAUGGUGACCCGGUUGGUUUGCCUACUCGCCUGAAUUUGGAGUUCAGUGCAUUUGAUGUUGAUGGUCCAACCCCAGCCCGUUGCUCUCCAGCUGUUGGAACACUGUACAACACCAACACACUUGAUUCCUUCAAGAUCAUAGAUAAGAAGGCUCUGCUGGAAAAAGAGGCCAGGGAGAUAUGGGAUUCUAUACAGUCUGGGGCUGCGUGGAAGGACCCAUCGACCCUCUGCAGAUUCAUUCUACUGACCUUUGCAGAUUUGAAGAAGUACCAUUUCUACUACUGGUUCUGCUUCCCUGCACUUUGUUUCCCAGAGGGAAUAAAGAUUGUCCAACCGCCGUCUCUCCUAGAACAAAUUUUCUCAGCAAAACAGAUCGCAGCCCUGCAGGAGGCCUAUGACAGCCUGUGCAUGAAGAGGGGGACCACUGCACUUCCUUACUUCCUCAUGAAAUACACAGAUGACACUGUUGAGUUGGCUUCACUUGGGGACGGGGAGACAUUUUUCACUGAUACUAUGAUGGUCACUGUGGGUGUCUAUGAUCCGUGUACUCUGUCUCAACAUCCGGGCUGGCCUCUGAGGAAUUUAUUGGUCCUCUUAGCAAACCAAUGGGGCUCUAAGGUGGACACAGUGGAGGUGCUGUGUUUCAGAGACAGGACUCUGCAGGGAAGUCGCUCCAUUCAGCAUAGUAUCAUGUUCCAGGUCAAACUGCCUGAACUCCCCAACAACUCGGUGUGUCCUAAGAGCGUAGGCUGGGAGAAGAAUAAGAAGGGAGCCAUGGGACCCAGGAUGGUCAACCUCAGUGAAUGCAUGGACCCCAAAAGACUUGCUGCGUCAUCAGUGGACCUGAACCUGAAGCUAAUGAGAUGGAGGCUGGUUCCUUCCUUGGACCUGGACAAAGUGGUCAGCACAAAGUGUCUUCUUCUGGGCGCUGGGACGCUGGGUUGCAAUGUGGCCAGGACUCUCAUGGGAUGGGGAGUGAGGCACAUCACAUUUGUAGACAAUGCAAAGAUCUCGUACUCCAACCCAGUUCGGCAGCCUCUGUAUGAGUUUGAGGACUGUCUCGGAGGAGGGAAGUCCAAAGCUAUGGCGGCUGUUGACCGACUUACCAAAAUCUUUCCUGGUGUGAAUGCAGAGGGUUACAAUAUGAGCAUCCCUAUGCCCGGCCACCCGGUGAAUUUCUCUCAGGCUACUCUUUCACAGGCCCAGAAGGAUGUGGAGCAGCUGGAGAAACUUAUUUCAGAGCAUGACGUGGUGUUUUUACUGAUGGAUACAAGAGAGAGCCGAUGGCUUCCUACAGUGAUCGCUGCCAGCAAGAGGAAGCUAGUGGUAAAUGCUGCCCUGGGCUUUGACACGUUUGUUGUGAUGCGCCACGGCCUGAAGAAACCUCCCGUCAGUCAGAGUGUUUCCACAGGGGCCGACUCCUCUCCUUCUUGUUCCUCUGCUUCCUCUUCGUCCUCCACACCGGCCGGCUCUGCACCCUCAGCCCCAGGAUCCUCUCUGUUCUCCAACAUCCCAGGACACAAGCUGGGAUGCUACUUCUGCAACGAUGUUGUUGCACCAGGAGAUUCAACUAGAGAUCGGACCCUGGAUCAACAGUGCACAGUCAGCCGACCGGGCCUUGCCAUGAUUGCUGGAGCCCUGGCUGUGGAGAUGAUGGUGUCCAUUCUACAGCACAGUGAAGGUUGACUCCACAUUCAAAUCUGAAUCCAAAACAACAUCUUUGCACGUCUUUUUAGAAGUCAGGCGCUCAUCUACCUCAGUAAACAACCCAGAUCACCAGUCGCUGUCUGAAGUACUCACACAGGAGCUUCACUCAACCUCACUCCAGACUUUAAACUGAGAGAGAUGCUGUGUUUUUGAUGUCGCAGCACCACAGCUGAGGUCCCGUGGUGCUGCAGGUAUUGUUGGUAAAAUGACUGUACCACAGCUUUGCCAGCUUUUUCUCAUUUCCAUGCCGCAAAAGCUCAAACGUUAUGCUCUGAAAUUCUCUUUACCACCUGUGCUAGCUCCUUAAUUCCAACUCUUACAAUGUGUGUUUCACUGAUGUGGAUGUUUUACUACCUAUUAAGUGUGUAUCUGUGUGCACGGUUGUGUCCUUGUGGAAAUGGAAUUGUGUGUGCCUUUUCUUGUGAUAAUAGAGUGAAGUGGCCGCUUGCUGGGCCUGAUAAGACAGCAAUUUUCUUUCAGAGUUGUGUGUGUGUGACGACCCUCCUCUUGGACACCAGGUGUACCUGUUCAGAAGCUGAGGGUUGUCAGCUGAUUGAGCCACACCUGGGAUCAAGUGGCUCAAACUGCAUCAAACCUCCCUCACUUCCAGUGUCUGGCUCUCUCUGACAGGAGCUGCUUCCUUCUGGAGCUCCAGAAGCCUGGUUUUGGUUUGGUUUAUAGUCUUUCGUGCACCUUGUUGGCUUGGUUUUGCAUUACAAUAAAACCUUUUUUUUAGUCACCACCCUGCUGUUGUCUCCCUGUUUUGUUGCAGCUGCAGAGCCGAGUUGUAACAAAUGGGGGCUCGUCUACACAUUAGGGGAACCAGUGUACGUGUUUGUAGCUUUGCUGGGUGAUUACCAUCGUGGGCAGAGACUGGUCAUUUUUGUGAACGAAGACAGGUGCUGUCUGGAGUGACUCUGGGUGUGGCCUGGCUGUUCAGCAUUUAAUGGAGGUCUGCGCAUUCUGGUUGUUGGGAGACAACGUGUGGUGAACAUAAGGUGAAGACAGCAGAGGAAGCAGCCGAUGACUAUGUGCUGACACAUCUUGGUGACUACAGAGCUCAGGACGGUGGUAAAAAUAAAUAUCAGUCAGCAGGUAAGACUGGAACAGACAGAUUUGUGUGGAGUCAGGCACAGGGGAAUCAGGAAGACGCCUGUAACUACUGUAGAGGCAGAGGACACUGGAAAGCUGAAUGUCCAGUAAAAGGUAGUUGUGAAGGUGGGCAGGUGGAGCCUGUUGCACUCACUGCUCCUGGCAGGAGGUUUACUGGUGUCCUCUCUCCUGGUGUCUGUUCUCACAGAUUUAAGGGGGAAUCUGCAGUGGACAAAGGUAGGUUACAGUCUGAUUUCUCAGCCUUUCUGUCUAAUGGUUAUGUGUCAUUGGUAGGUAGUAAUGGUAAGGUACCAGUAAGAAUUCUGAGAGAUACUGGAGCAAGCCGCUCAUUGAUUGUGAGUUCUGUGCUGCCGUUCUCUCAGAUCACGGCUACUGGUGAAAAGGUUCUGAUGAAGGGAAUGGGUUUGGGGGUGCUGCCUGUUCCAGCCCAUAAACUGUGGCUAGACUGUGGUCUAGUUCAGGGGGAGGUUACCAUGGGAGUGCGUUCGGCUCUACCAGUCCCGGGGGUGCAGGUUAUUCUGGGGAGGGACCUGGCUGGUGGCAGUGUGUGGGCUGAUGGUCCACCUCAACUUGUAGUAACUUUUUCUCCUUCUGUUGCAGAGAGGUUUCCUGUUUGCACAGCUACCUGGUCAGUGUUUGGUAGAGAGGCAGAAUCAGGCUCCAAGCAGAGUGGUCCAGAGAGUAUCCUUCACUGUGGUGAUACCCGAUUCUUUCCCUUCAGUUUCUCACAGUGACCUGGCAGCAGAACAACAAGCUGAUCCUUCCCUCAGUGCAAUGUUUGAUUCUUCGCUUUUAGAUGGGGAGAGUUCUGCACAGGGUUAUCUGGUGAAAAACAAUCUGUUGGUAAGGAAAUGGGUGCCAACUGGGAAAGGUUUCAUUUGUGAUCCUGUUUUUCAGGUUGUUGUGCCUUCAAUGUUCUGUGGGAAGAUGCUGAGGACAUCUUAUGACCAGUAUGGACAUCUGGGGGUGCGUAAGAUGUAUUGUCACCUCUGAAAGUACAUCUUUUGGCCUGGUUUGAAGAGAGAUGUCUCGCUGUAUGUUAGGUCGAAGAUGAGUCGGUCCUCCCCUCCGCAGAGUAAAUCAGUUCAUCAGUUUGUUAGUCUGUUUAAACCUAGGCCCAGCAGCAUCAGUCCCGUGAAGGGGUGGAAAAGGGUGCAGACUACACAAACUGGUAAGUGAGUGCUGGCCAAGGUCAUGUUUUUGUUUGUACAGUUCAGCUGUCCAGAGCCCUGGCUGGUGAAACGUGCUUGGAGGAUCCAGUGCUUAGACCUCCUAGGCCCUGUCUGUUUCUUCCAACCUUACCACUCUUAAAGCGCUUCUCCCAUCACCGGGGGUUGCUGGGUUUAGGAUUGGAAAGGUGGGCUGCCUGGAGGGAGGGUCUGUGCAGGGUGGCCUGGACAUUGUGUACCUGUAGUUAUGGGAUCUGCAGAAAGUAUUUUGGUGACAUUUAUCACAGCAAGCGAUUGUAUUGUGUACUGUUGAUGUGUGCUGUCUCAGACUCCCAGGGGAAGCCUCAUCUUAAGGGAGAGUGUGUGACGACCCUCCUCUUGGACACCAGGUGUGCCUGUUCAGAAGCUGAGGGUCGUCAGCUGAUUGAGCCACACCUGGGAUCAAGUGGCUCAAACUGCAUCAAACCUCCCUCACUUCCAGUGUCUGGCUCUCUCUGACAGGAGCUGCUUCCUUCUGGAGCUCCAGAAGCCUGGUUUUGGUUUGGUUUAUAGUCUUUCGUGCACCUUGUUGGCUUGGUUUUGCAUUACAAUAAAACCUUUUUUUUAGUCACCACCCUGUUGUUGUCUCCCUGUUUUGUUGCAGCUUCAGAGCCGAGUUGUAACAAAAUGUUUGCAGGUGUUCUAAGCUGUACAGAGCUGGUCUUUCUGUCCUGGAUAAAAUGCUUAGAAAGCAAAGGAGUUUUCAUGUGUUCUCUUUACUUCUAUGAUUGUGUAGCUCCUUCCAAUACACUAAGAUCUCCCUGUCUUGCAUUGGUCCUCUGCGUGUCCUUGUUUUCAUUUGAUAGCUGUGUUUUCCCCCUUUCUUUAUACCCUCCUCCCUUCAUCUCUUUAUCCCCUUUAAGUCCCAUACAUCAGCUUUCCUGUGGAAUCUUGCAUUGUAACCAUCAUGGGAUUUAGAAAAUUGGCACAUAGGGAUUGAUGUUGCAGCAGUUUGACAGACUUUUCUGACUUUGCAAAACCACUGUAAGGUCAGUGUGAGAUGUGAUAUUUUUGUUAUAAUCAUUACUAUCCACAGAGAGUAAAAAUCUUUAGCAGGAGCUCCCAGAUCUCAUGUAAAAUGCAAAACCUCUUACUGUUGAAGUGAACUGGAUCUCUCAGGUCUUAUUAUAAGUUACAAAAUUCUGUCUUUUAUUCCAGUAUGUUUUGAUUUACAGAGUAGAUUUGAUGGGUAUGAUAAAAAUGAAUCAGCAUCUAUUGAUUUAUGUGUUGUUCUGCUUGGCUCAGAAUUUGUGUUCUGCUUGGCUCAUAUUUGAUAUGCAAAAUUCUUUAUGUUCUUUAGGGAAAUUUUAUGCCUUUUUUUUUCUCUGUUUCAGUCAAAUUUAAUCAGAAAUUUAAAAGGGUUAUAUUUUCCAUGACAAGAAGAAAUGUUGCUAAAAUUGCCCAAAUUACAGUUAAAUUUUUGUCAAAAAGUAUAUGAAUGUUUCCCUCUUUUUCUCC